ACUCACGAAGGUCACGGUACAUCUUAUUUCUUCCAGGAUACAUAGCAUAGGGGCUACUAUGCGCCUCUCGCAAUAUGGACUGCCUCAAAUCAGUAUCCUUUGGAACACAAAUUCUCACACGAAAAUAGAGCACCCCUUCACCAUUUAGUCCAAAAUCCACAGUAUCACCACUCUCAACCUUUCGGAAUCGAAGACUCAGUGACUCAUCCUCCAUCUGUUUACCUUUAAUCUACUUAAUCCACAUCGAUUUAACCUGAAGUUUGGCCAACAGACUACCAUCAUCAAAUAAACUAAGACGAGCAAACAUC
rnacentral:lncRNA from 1 species